rnacentral:rRNA from 1 species
UUCCGGUUGAUCCCGCCGGACCCGACUGCUAUUGGGGUGAGGCUAAGCCAUGCGAGUCAGCGCUUCUAACCAUGAUGAGGCGCGGCAUACGGCUCAGUAACAUGUGGUCAAUCUACCCUCAGGACGGGGACACCCUCGGGAAACUGAGGCUGAUCCCAGAUAGAUAAUGGAUCCUGGAAUGGUUCUUUAUCCAAACGAUACGGGACUCAUGUGUUUCGUGUCGCCUGAGGAUGGGACCGCACCCUAUCAGGUAGUUGGUGGGGUAACGGCCCACCAAGCCUAUAACGGGUACGGGCCCUGAGAGGGGGAGCCCGGAGAUGGGUACUGAGACAAGGACCCAGGCCCUACGGGGCGCAGCAGGCGCGAGACCUCUGCAAUGCGCGAAAGCGCGACAGGGCCACCCCGAGUGCUAGACGCUGAGUCUAGCUUUUCCUUAGUGUAGUAAGCUAGGGGAAUAAGCGGGGGGCAAGCCUGGUGUCAGCCGCCGCGGUAAUACCAGCUCCGCGAGUGGUCGGGACGAUUAUUGGGCCUAAAGCGUCCGUAGCCGGCCUAGCAAGUCU